rnacentral:lncRNA from 1 species
AGAGCACCUGAGAGGAUCUCGGCGAAGCGGAAGGCUUUGGUGCCAGCUGGGAGAGUCUGCGCCGGAUUUCCUCAGCUCCUUGGCGCGUUUCCUCGGAGCCGGGGGAGGCAAAGCACGGACCCCGGAGUCGGCGCCCAUAGCGGGACGCCCUCGCGAGGGGCGGGAGUGCGGGAGAGCCGAGCUGCUGCCCUUGACUGGUGCUCAGGGGACCACAGCUGCAAUGACAGUUUGGGCCUGCAAAAAGAAGGCUGGAACAACGGGAGAUGGAAGCUUUCUGCAAAUGCACCACUGGUAUCCAUGAAUUUAACCUGCCCAUCAUUCUUCCUAAACAAGAGACUAUUGAAAAGUCAGGGUGUUCAAAAUGGCUUCAGAUCUUAUCAGGACAAUCUUGGCUGUUGCACUAAUUUCCAAACUUGGCACAGCUGUAGAUGCAGAACUGAUGCCAUCUGGUGCGAUUCUACAGAAUAAGAGAGAAAAUUUACCCAGAGUGUGCCAUGCACUGGCUUUUCUGGGAAUGGCAAGGUGCCAGGAUUUGUUUUUGGUUCGCUUGCAGGGGUGGAAACUUGGAACUAG